AACUCUCAGCAAUGGAUCUCUUGGCUCUCGCAUCGAUGAAGAACGCAGCGAAAUGCGAUAAUUAAUGUGAAUUGCAGAAUUCAGUGAAUCAUCGAAUCUUUGAACGCACCUUGCGCCCCUGUUAUAUUCCGAGGGGCAUGCCUGAUUGAGUAUCAUGAACACCUCAACUCUCAUGGUUUGCCAUGAUGAGCUUGGACUUUGGCGGUUUUGCUGGCCCUAUGGUCAGCUCCCCUCAAACAAAUCAGCUUGCCAGUGUAUGGCGGUGCCGUGGGUGUGAUAACUAUCUACGCUUGCGGUCGUCCGUUGGGUAACCUUUGGCAACAGAGGUUCGCUGGAGCUCAUAAAUGUCUCUCCUCAGUGAAGACAGCUUUUCAAUCGUUCGAUCUCAAAUCAGGUAGGACUACCCGCUGAACUUAAGCAUAUCAAUAAGCGGAGGCU
rnacentral:misc_RNA from 1 species